rnacentral:tRNA from 1 species
AAGGAUUUAGGUUAAAUAAACCAAUAGCCUUCAAAGCUUUAAAUAAAGAUUCCCCCCCUUCUUUAAGCCUUA